UUGCGAAAACCCAUCGAUGGGUAAAAAAACACCCAUUUUCAAAUAGCAUUCCUGUCUGUCAUAAAAUGGGGGAAUUUCUCAAUCAUGCAAAGGGUAAAAAAAUACCCAUCAAAAGGAACCCUAAUACAUCAAAAAAGGGGUAAAAAUAUAACCAUUAAUGGGUGAAAAAAUAGUUUAAAAACAAAGCGCAUCGUGGUGGAAGUAUGGCUUCUUUCAGUUCUUAAAUAAUAAAAAAUAAUAAAUAAUAUAACUAAUAGGAACAGUUUAUAAUAUUGGAACUAUUCGACACUAUCGGAACGACACAAGUAAGGUAAUUGUAUACAAUUAAUUGUUGUACAACAGUAAUUUAAUGCGGAAAAAAUGCUUUCAGGUCCGGAUCGUCGAUUUUAAAACUAGUUUUGUGUUCAUGGAAAACGUAGGAGCUCCGAAAGAAGCUCCGAAACGUACACGAACGUCAUACAAAAAGCUGAAGGCAAAGCUUCUCAGUCGGGGACCGACUUCUUCUUAUUAUGAGUCUAACACGAUGAUACUUUUAUGCACAAGGAAGUCGAGACAAUGUCCAAUCCAAAAAUUGUCUAGACCGGCACCGGGAAUCGAACCCAGCCACCCUCGGAAUGGUCUUGCUUUGUAGCCGCGCGUCUUACCGCACGGCUAAGGAGGGCUCCUGACCGACUUACGGUGUGGUAUAUGGCUAGGCCGAAACGAAAAUGCACGUGUGACGGGAAUGCUGAACGUAUAUUGACAACGAGAUCAACAAUUACGUUAAUAAAAAUAUAUAACAUUAUCUUUUUAA